GUGAAGAAUAAAAAAAUCAAACACAGAACAGACAGUGUAAAGCAUUAGCUUGUACAGUAACUUUUCUGCUCUUUUGACUUCAAAGUGCCCACCACAAAUAACAACACAACUACAACGGCUACUCCUGUCAUCACUACUGCUAUCAUCACAACUACAACCACUGAAACUACCGUUGUGGCACUCACUAAGGUGACUGUGGUGUUCCGGUCCAGCGGAGAGACAUUUACCUCUGACCUAUCAAACACAUCUUCUCAGGCCUUUCAAACCCGAGCAUUACUGAUUAAAACUCAGGUGAGCCUCCCAAAACAAUGAAGAUGUGAAUGUACUAUUGAAAGGGGUAGAAUACAGUUACAUAGUCAGCUUUUAAUCAACAGGAAGUUGUUUGUUUAAACUUCAUCUGUUUCUUGUUUUGUCUUCCAGCUUGAUCCUUUCUAUCGAUCAGCUUUCACCUCUUUCAACAGUUUGACUGUGACAGAAUUCAGGUGAUUUUUUUUUUGCAUUACAUUUUGUAUGUUGAUAUAAAUUGAUCUCACUUUCUAUCUAACAUGUUAUCUCUCAUUUGUUCCCAGCUCUGGAUCCAUCAUCAAUACUAUGAAUUUAGCAUUCAGCUCCUCCUCCGUCCCAAAUUCCAUGGAGAUUGGCACUGUUUUAAUAAAUGCCGCCCAAAAAAUCACAGCUUUCAACAUUGACCCCACCUCAGUGAGAGUCAACGACACAGCUGUGACCUCAAGUGGAAUAAGCAGCAAGACCAGUCUCUGCACAGCAUUCUUUCUGGUGGUUCUGUCGCUGCUACUGUCAAGCCAGCAUUAGUCUCAGUGGCAACGCCCACUAAAAACACUAUUUCACUCACUGGCAAGCAACAGAACUAAAUAGUGUGUGUAGUCAUAUUUUCACUUUGAGAACUUCCCACACAUUCCAACCCCUACUCCAAUUCCACCCAUGAUUUGAAUAGUGUCCAAAAAUGAUCAAGUCUUGUAUGCUGACAUAAGAUACACUAUUUGUGGCAGUUGAACACAACGAUGUGAUAUAAUUACUGCCUAUUCAAUCAAAAUGUGUAUGUGUAUGGGGUCCGUCAUAAGUCGAUGUUAUUUCCAUGCAAUGAAAAAUAAUGUUUGAUUUAAUAUGUACUUAAGGUUAUUUUUGAUUCGCUCUGUUGCUGAUAUGAACUAAAACGUUGAUUCACUCUGUUGCUGUUAUGAACUAAAACGUUGAUUCACUCUGUUGCUGUUAUGAACUAAUGAGAGCAAUAUUUUAUUUUCUAUUUUGACUUAACCAGUGAAACCUGGAUAACUGAUUUAAAUAAGGCCCUUUUUGAGCAAAAUGUUCAUCAAUUUAAACUAUUGUCAAUGUAGUUUUCAUUCUGUUUUCUAUUCUUCGUCAUGUAUAACUAUCUAUUAUACCAAUGUCUUACUGCUGUUGAGAUUCAGGCCAUUGUAGUGUUUACUAUUUGUUGACUAAAUGAGUGGUUUGAAUGACAAGGUACAGUACGGCUCCAAAUUGUGAUGUUUAUCUGACUAUCUGGCCUUAAAAAACUGGAACAACAAGACUACACUAGAUCAGCCCAACACUUCCACAUGGUACACAGUGAGAGAGUGUUGUGUCCCACUGGUCUGGACAGCAGCUAGUUUUGUUGGUGCAAUAUUUGCCCUCCCAGAAAUUAUGCUUUGAUUGGUUCUCACAUGCGAGAUAUUCGCAUGCAAAACGCUCCUCGCUUCCUAAUCAAUUCGCCUCGCCCCAACUAGAGACAGACAAACAGGUAGCUAGUUUAAUGAUUCUUUCAAUUUGAAAAGGGGAUACCAGCGUAGCACGUUGAAGUCGCAGCCCCUUCAUUAUCAAUGCAACGUGCCGACAACAUCCAAGAGCCUUCCCAGACUCUGGAGAAGACAGACAUGUAUCUUUCGCCAGACUAACACUAGAUGCAAUUCCACAAAUAUCGCUCAGAUGUAUAAAGUUUGAAGCGUACAAUAUCUCUGAAAAGCUAAACUCAACAAGUGUUAAGACAGGAUACAUUUUGUAUUUUAUUUCCUUAAUUUUUUUCUUUUAUUUCCUCUAUCCAAAACAUAGAAAAUUAACAUAGAAUGCCCACGCUAGUCACACCCUGGCCUAACCAAAAUAGAGAAUAAAAACCUCUCUAUGGCCAGAGCGUGACACAUAUGUAUAUACUGUAUUCUAUUCUAUUAUAUUCUAUACUAUCUUAGUUUAUGUCGCUCUGACACAGCUCAUGCAAAUACUUACAUAUUCUUAAUUCCAUUCCUUUACUUUAGAUUGUGUGUAUUGUUAGAUAUUACUUGUUAGAUAUUACUGCACUGUUGGAGCUAGAAACACAAACAUUUUGCUACAAAACCACAAAAACAUCUGCUAAACACGUGUAUGGGACAAAUAACAUUAGAUUUGAUUUGAAAUACCUCACCCCCUCAUGCCUUAUUGCUUAAUCACGCAUCAUCAUAUAUCUUCAAAACAAAAACAAGUUCUGUAUCCUGUGAGCUCAAUUGUAAAAUGAUUCCAUUCUAGAAUGAAAGAGGGGUAUAAAUAAAUCAAUCAUGGUCAGAAUUUAAAAAAAGUAUUUAAUAAAGUUGUUGUGUCAUUGAACAGGAGUUUUACUGU
rnacentral:lncRNA from 1 species